rnacentral:rRNA from 1 species
AAACCUGAGAAACCCAAAAGAUCGAAUGGGGAGAUUCAUCGUCAGCGGCGCUGGCUUCCUUGUAUUUCGCGAUGUUCGGGGAACCUCGGUUCCCCGGCACGCUUUACUUGGUAUGUCCGGCGUUGUCGGCGUGCACUUCUCCCCUAGUAGAACGUCGCGACCCGUUGGGUGUCGGCCUACGGGCUGGGUGGUCGACUGUAUCGGCGUUUCGGCGAUGGUGCAGACCCCCGGUUGCCCGGCCGGCUGCUCGGCGGUACUCGCAUGGUAUCGGGCCGCACUUAAGUGCGUCAGGCCCGUCGCAAGCGCGGCCAGUGUCACCCGAAGGCGCGGACUAAGUGCCGUCCUCGGGCCUGGCCAGCUGUUGGUAGACGGUGUCCUCCGACAGGCCUCAUGAUACCGGUCAGCGACGCUACUGCUUUGGGUACUUUCAGGACCCGUCUUGAAACACGGACCAAGGAGUCUAACAUGUGCGCGAGUCAUUGGGAUCGCAAAGCCUAAAGGCGAAAUGAAAGUGAAGGUCGACCUUGCGUCGACCGAGGGAGGAUGAGCGGCGCGUAAGCGCUGCUCCGCACUCCCGGGGCGUCUCGUACUCAU